rnacentral:rRNA from 1 species
UACAGAGGGUGCAAACGUUGCUCGGAAUCAUUGGGCGUAAAGCGCACAUAGGCGGCCCAGCAAGUGGGGAGUGAAAGCCCUCGGCUUAACCGAGGAAGUGCUUUCCAAACUACUGGGCUUGAAUACUGGAGAGGGUCGCGGAAUUCCCGGUGUAGAGGUGAAAUUCGUAGAUAUCGGGAGGAACACCUGCGGCGAAGGCGGGUUGCUGGGCCGACACUGACGCUGAAGUGCGAAAGCUAGGGGAGCGAACGGG